GAGCGAAUGGAUUAAGAGCUUGCUCUUAUGAAGUUAGCGGCGGACGGGUGAGUAACACGUGGGUAACCUGCCCAUAAGACUGGGAUAACUCCGGGAAACCGGGGCUAAUACCGGAUAACAUUUUGAACUGCAUGGUUCGAAAUUGAAAGGCGGCUUCGGCUGUCACUUAUGGAUGGACCCGCGUCGCAUUAGCUAGUUGGUGAGGUAACGGCUCACCAAGGCAACGAUGCGUAGCCGACCUGAGAGGGUGAUCGGCCACACUGGGACUGAGACACGGCCCAGACUCCUACGGGAGGCAGCAGUAGGGAAUCUUCCGCAAUGGACGAAAGUCUGACGGAGCAACGCCGCGUGAGUGAUGAAGGCUUUCGGGUCGUAAAACUCUGUUGUUAGGGAAGAACAAGUGCUAGUUGAAUAAGCUGGCACCUUGACGGUACCUAACCAGAAAGCCACGGCUAACUACGUGCCAGCAGCCGCGGUAAUACGUAGGUGGCAAGCGUUAUCCGGAAUUAUUGGGCGUAAAGCGCGCGCAGGUGGUUUCUUAAGUCUGAUGUGAAAGCCCACGGCUCAACCGUGGAGGGUCAUUGGAAACUGGGAGACUUGAGUGCAGAAGAGGAAAGUGGAAUUCCAUGUGUAGCGGUGAAAUGCGUAGAGAUAUGGAGGAACA
rnacentral:rRNA from 1 species